rnacentral:rRNA from 1 species
AUUGAACGCUGGCGGCAGGCUUAACACAUGCAAGUCGAGCGGGGAAAAGUAGCUUGCUACUGGACCUAGCGGCAGACGGGUGAGUAAUGCUUAGGAAUCUGCCUAUUAGUGGGGGACAACAUCUCGAAAGGGAUGCUAAUACCGCAUACGUCCUACGGGAGAAAGCAGGGGACCUUCGGGCCUUGCGCUAAUAGAUGAGCCUAAGUCGGAUUAGCUAGUUGGUGGGGUAAAGGCCUACCAAGGCGACGAUCUGUAGCGGGUCUGAGAGGAGGAUCGGCCACACUGGGACUGAGACAAGGCCCAGACUCCUACGGGAGGCAGCAGUGGGGAAUAUUGGACAAUGGGGGGAACCCUGAUCCAGCCAUGCCGCGUGUGUGAAGAAGGCCUUUUGGUUGUAAAGCACUUUAAGCGAGGAGGAGGCUACCGAGAUUAAUACUCUUGGAUAGUGGACGUUACUCGCAGAAUAAGCACCGGCUAACUCUGUGCCAGCAGCCGCCGUAACAC